rnacentral:rRNA from 1 species
UACGGAGGGUGCAAGCGUUGUCCGGAAUCACUGGGCGUAAAGGGCGCGUAGGCGGCUCAUGAAGGCUGUGGUGAAAGUCCGGGGCUCAACCUCGGAUCGGCCGUGGCGACUCGUGGGCUGGAGCACUGUAGAGGCGGGUGGAAUUCCGGGUGUAGCGGUGGAAUGCGUAGAUAUCGUGAGGAACACCAGAGGCGAAGGCGGUUACCUGGACAGUUACUGACGCUCAGGCACGAAAGCGUGGGGAGCAAACAGG